CCUGGCGGCUAUACCGAAGAGGAAACACCCGUUCCCAUCCCGAACACGGAAGUUAAGCUCUUCAGGGCCGAUGAUACUGCACUCGUGAGGGUGUGGGAAAGUAGGUCGUCGCCAGGU
rnacentral:rRNA from 1 species